UACGAAGGGGGCUAGCGUUGUUCGGAAUCACUGGGCGUAAAGGGCGCGUAGGCGGCUGUUCAAGUCGGGGGUGAAAGCCUGUGGCUCAACCACAGAAUGGCCUUCGAUACUGGACGGCUCGAGACCGGAAGAGGUCAGUGGAACUGCGAGUGUAGAGGUGAAAUUCGUAGAUAUUCGCAAGAACACCAGUGGCGAAGGCGGCUGACUGGUCCGGUUCUGACGCUGAGGCGCGAAAGCGUGGGGAGCAAACAGG
rnacentral:rRNA from 1 species